GCUAGAGCACUUUUUCAAUGUGCUCCCCAACGAGAAGGCGAUGACGCAUUCGUAUGUCAAUCCAUAUCAACUUUCGAUGCCAUUGACUGCGCCUACCAUGGUGACCACGGGUAACGGGGAAUCAGGGUUCGAUUCCGUACAGGGACCCUGACAAAUGGUUACCACAUGUAAGGAAGGCA